GGCGCCGGAGCACGCCGCGUGGCCGUCUUCUCCGUCGAGGCCGACGGCGGAGAUGGCGAUGCCCCUCGGCGCAUGGAGCUGCUCUGAACGGUCGAGACGCCCGUCGUUCCGUGGCAUCUGGUUGCUGUUCGCGGGUGGGAGCUGGCCGUGGGCUGUGGCUGGUGUUCGCUAUAUUUCUCAUUUCUUUCUAGAGAGAUUGUGGCGGCAUCCUUGUCCAUAUUGGUUCUUGGAUCGGAGUCGUUCUCGGUGGAUAACGAGUCUGUGAGGUACAGAAGAAUUAUUGCGCUGCAAUGCCAGUUCUUCCUCGCGAUGUUUAUGUCGAAAUUAGAGUUUGGGGCUGAACAGAGUUGCAUCUAUGAGCGUCCACUGCGGAUUCUGCAACACGGUCGAAAGGACCUAUUAUUGGUGCUUCUCAGCGUAGUGUGAAGAGUCCAUGAUGGCGAUGAUUUGGUGCACUUCCAGCAGGCAGGCUCACCACCUCGAUGGCUCCUCCACCAGUCCACCUGUUCAAAGGAGGGAAAGGGGAUUCAGAAAUUCCAUUGGAGGGGGGUCCACUGCACUGGGCCUCAACCAUUAAAUCCCACUUUUGUUGAAAUGUCAUUCUUUGGUGGUAUUGAUUUCUUCUCCUUUAUUGUGGAGCGCCACUAAAUAUGCAUGGUAUAUUCCCUGAUAAUUCCAAAGAACUAUUUGUAGACUGAUUAACAGUAUAUUACAUGGUAUUUUUCUCUCCUCUUUGCCUUUUAUUACCUAUGACAAUAUCAGGCUGAACUGAUUCAGUUGGAUGCAAGGAAGUGAUUUUUAACUUAAACUGAAGAAUUAGGAGAUGAAUGCUUGAUAAGCACGAAGUAGUGGCAAAGCAGGAAGGCCACACUCCCCAAUCUCCAUAUUCUAAAAAGUGCAUCUCAAAAGAGGAGAUUGCCUCUUCAACUUUUUGUAAAAGGCACCUUUAUUUUUGUAUUGUGGAUCUGUAGAUUUUGCCUCCAGGUAAAAUUUCAGUACCCUCAGUCUGUUGGUAAAGAUUGGUUUGUUGGGGUUAAGCAGCAGAAAGCAUGGCAAUGGGUCGAAAGCUGCUACCAAAUUAUUACCAGUAAAAAGCCCCCAAACAAGGAUAGGAAUGGAGAAUUGUCAGCAGAAGGAAUAGCUGCAGAAUUGAUAUUUGGUGAGACAGGAAUAGCAUGAAUAGGGAUUUCCAGACAUUGCCACGCGCCCCACACAGCAGGUAAAAGGAUUCCUCUCCCCUUCUAUCCUGCAAUCCUCUGCCCUGCCUCCCCUGCAGAUCAUGGAGGAUGCUUGGCAGGAGCGUCUCCUGCGUAAGCAGUAAAGCAGUAGAAGGAUGGAGGACAAUGGCUGAGCUGGGCUCCUCCUCAUCAAUCAUCAGUUUGUAUUUGCCCAUGCCUCUCAUGGCCUUCUUCCCUGGCUUCCAGUUCCAGAUGGCUCGGUGAGGCGUGGACAGAAACCGGCAAGUCAGAAAUCGGCAAUGGUGAGCUCCUACAGGAGCCUACUCCUUAUUUACCAGUUUUAAGUUUUCCCUCUUCCUGUUGUUCCUCGUUUUCUUUCGUUCCUUCUUCUUUUUUCUUACCUUAAAGUUGUAUCUGGUUAGAGCAGAAGAUUUCAUUAGAAGUCUUGCUUUCUGGAGAUAAUUCUUUUAUGUUUGUUUUGGAUUAUCCUACUUGAACUGCUCGUGUCCCUCGUAAAGAUGGCAUGUGACCUUGUAUUGUCGAAUCUGCAACCUUA